rnacentral:rRNA from 1 species
UACGGAGGGAGCUAGCGUUGUUCGGAAUUACUGGGCGUAAAGCGCACGUAGGCGGCUUUGUAAGUUAGAGGUGAAAGCCUGGAGCUCAACUCCAGAAUUGCCUUUAAGACUGCAUCGCUUGAAUCCAGGAGAGGUGAGUGGAAUUCCGAGUGUAGAGGUGAAAAUUCGUAGAUAUUCGGAAGAACACCAGUGGCGAAGGCGGCUCACUGGCUCAUUACUGACGCUCAGGCGCGACAGCGUGGGGAGUCAAAC